rnacentral:snRNA from 1 species
AUACUAACCUGGCGUAGGGGAUACCAUGAUCAACGAGGUGGUUCCCCCAGGCUUCAGGCAAUUGCGCCGAAGCCUGUAAGUACUCCUAACGUGAGUAUUUGUGCGUUAAAUUUUUGGUAGAGUGGGGUCCUUGCUAGAAAUCAAGACCCCAUG